ACAAAUUGUUCCUCUUCACGUGCGGGGUGGGCGGGGUGGGCGGGGUGGGGGCGGGCGAGCGCCGCGGCCUCCCCUCCUCCCCGUCCCUCCUCCCCGUCCCUCCUCCCCCUCCUCCUCCGCCGGCUCUUUGUCACCGAGCGCCCGGCGAACGCCGAGGACCCCGGGCCGGGCUGCGCGCCGCUGGGGGGCGGGGGGCGCGCUGGGGACGGAGCAGCGCUGCGCCCGGGCAGCCCGAGCCCGCGGUGGGGGAGGCCGCGCACUGCGCCCCCCGCCCCCAAAGCCGGAGACGCGGCGAGCGGAGAUAAGAGAAAGGAUCGUCCCCCUCCCCCCUCCCUCCCCGGGCUGCGAGGGGAACUGCCCCUUCCUCCCCGAGCGCCGAGGCCAUUGGCUGCGCCUCCGCCGCGCACCCACCCACCCAGCCAUUUAAGCCGCUUUCGGCGGCCGGCCGCCUUCCACUGCCCUGGGCGCGGGGUCCGGCCUGCCGAGUGGGCGGGGGCGCGGGGCCGGCCCAGGCCGCUCCACCUGCCGGGCGCGCCCCGGACCCCCGCGCCCCCCGCGCGCCCCCGCCCCUGCGCGCGCGUCUCACCCACUGCAAAGUUCAUUCACAAAACUCCCAGACUUUCCCAGCCCGCGGGGGGCGCGCGGGGCCUGCGCUCCCCCCGCGGCCCCGACCUGGCGCGGCGGCCCCGAGGGGUGGGCGAAGGGGGACGGGUCUGGGAAGGCGAGGCGAGGCGGCGCGGGGUGGGGAGCGCCGGCGGGAGAGGAGGAGCGAGCUUCCAACUCCGGGUUCGCUCGCCCGCAAAUCGGCGUCUAAGAAAGGGAAAGGGGGGGUGGGGUGGGGGGAAACUUUUCCUGCGCCUCGGCCGCCGCUCCUCCGGACUCCCUCCGCCCCUCGCGGUCGUGACCGGCUCGCGCCCUGUCGCCCCCUGGUCCCCGAGUCUGACAACCCCGACACACGGACAGGUUCCAGGAGGUUUCCGGUGGCUGGCAAGCCUUUUUCUCCCUACGUGCCGACAAAAUGCACCCCAUGGACACACACACAAGCAUAUGCCUCCGGUGCGGACACGCGCGACACGCACUCACUCCACCCCGCCUCGGACCGCGGCAAGCUUGCUUAUUGCAUUUUCCUUCCACAAAAAAGUUUUGGUGUUUAUGCCGCCCCGUGUUCUCAAAGUACUUUGGCUGCUCAGUUGCAUUUCGCAGGAACCUAGAUCCCGAGUCCUCGGGCUGGGGCGCGUAAACACAGGGACGGCCCCGGGCGACUGCACGCGUCCAUCGCUGAGCUCCCCUGCAAGACGCCGCGCGGAGAGCAGCCCCUGACGCCCGGCCGGGCUGCCGCUGCCGGGAGACGAGCCCGGGGACGCGGCGCAAAACCCGGCCCGGACUCUCUCCGCGGCGGGAGCGGGCGCGCGGCGCACCGGGCAGGCCCCCGCCCUCCGCGCCCCGCCUCGCCCUCCCCGCCCCUCCACGCCCCCCGCCGGCCGCGCGGCUCCUCGGACGGGAAGCAGAGCUGCCGGAGCCCCGAGAGAGAGAGAGAGAGAGAGAGAGAGAGAGAGAGAGAGAGAGAGAGAGAAGAGAUUCCGAGCAGGCGGGGGAUGGAGCGGGGGGGGGAGGAUCAACUUUUGACCUGUGUGUGUGUGUGUGUGUGCACGCGUGUGUGCGCGGAUGGCCUCGUGAACGCGCCCGCCUGGGGUUCCUCGUUGCGAGCGAGGUACCCUGCAAAGCCCUGCAAAGCCCUGCAAAAGCCCGAGCUGCUGUUGGACCUCCUUCGUGCAUCCUCCUCGUAGAACCGUGCACGGCCAGGCGGCAGCAGCGGCGGCAGCAGCGGGGCCUCGCAGCAGCUGCGUGUCGUCCCUACCCCGAGUGGCAACACAAGGGCAGACACAGAGCGACUGGAGUCCAAGGUAGUUAGAGUCCUUCGCCAGCCAGCCGGAGGGCUCCUGCGUAUGGACACUUGUUCAAACUCCCCCCCACCCCAACACACACACACACACACACACACACACACACCACCCCUCCUCCCCGAGCCGGUCUGAACACACCAGUGCCUGAUUCUGAACAAAAAGAAACAGGCAACCCCAGACAACUUGGGGGUUUGUGAUGCGGUUCGCUGUUCAUGAUUGUUGUCAUUGAGGCAAUUAUUGUUUUACUUAGCCCUGGAAAGGAAAAAAAAAUUAAGAUAAAGCAAGCAGGGACUUGGAGGUGAGACUUACAGUACAUUUUAACAGACUGUUUUGAACGCUAGGUGCUAAUGACAGCAGUAAUUAAGGGUCCUUCGUAAAUCAAGUGGAAAGAUUGCAGAUUUCAUGGACUAGAACUAUAGGAAAAACACAGCAUUUCACAGUUUGUCAUGACCAAAACAAAAACAAGCAAAAAUAACAGGCUUACCUUAUUGCUAGAUAUAUUUCUUUCUGCGUAAAUGAAAGCACAGUAAGUACAAUUAAAAUUGAAUAACUACCAUAGAAAGCAAUCUCAACUUUCCUUUAUCUUUCCAGUUACUGAAUAUUAAAAACAAAACAAAACUAAGGAUCAAAUAUAAUAUCCUUGAACCUGGACUUACCUAAUCGUAUACACAUAAUUAAAAAAAAAUUUUAAAUGGAGAAACAGCAUUUCUGUGAUCAAGGGUAGUACAAAAUCUUGAUUGUGGGCUAUUAAUAAUAAGGCAUUUUGUAUUAUCUCAGUAAAUCUUAUAGAAUUAGUUUUUAGGGUAAAAAUACACCCCAGUUUUCUAAAAUAGCCAGGAAUAAAAGAACUUUGGAUCUCAUGCAUUAGUCAUGAGAUCUGAUUUAAACCAUCUUCAUUUCUUGGCAUUGCAGAUUAGCAUAGGAUGCUAUUUCUAACCUCAUAAUGUCAGCAAUAAGAAGCUAUAUUUUUCUUCAAUUAAUCAGGCCUAUAUGGUAAACUAUAUCUUUAAUAUCCCUGGAUUAUAUGGUAAAGCGGGCAGCAAGAUAUUGAUUAAUGUGCUGUGAGAUUACCUUUAAGUAGUGAAACCAACGUGAGAGAGUCUCUUUCAUUGACGCUGCUGUACUAUUUCAGAAGACUACUUAGUUAACGUGCAACUUUCUGUGUCGUAACUGCCCCUCCUUGAAGUCUGUUACAAAAUUUUACUGAAUUAAUUCUAUAGCGAGAAAUCAAUUCAGAUUCUAAAAACACAGAAAAUUGUAAGAAAAAGACAUCACAAAGUAGUCUUUGUCUUCUUCACAUGUUAACUAAAUAAUAUCUCUAUUAAUUCAGGAAACACAUGGCUUCACUGCAGAGAGGAAGCUAUGACUCUGCAUUCACGCUAAUCUCUCUUCACUAUGCUUUAAUUCUUAUUCCUUCUCCCUCCAAGCAUGUGCAUCAACCAUAAAAGACUAUAGUUUGAUUUACAGGGUCUUGAGUACUGGGUCUUCAGUUUUGAAACCUGAGUUCUAAAGCUAGCUCUUUCCUGUGGCUCAGAAUUUAAUUUUUUAUUGAGAAUUUGGCAAUUCUGAAAAAAAAAAAAAAAAAAAAAAAGAGGACAACAUAGCAGCAAAAUGCAUUCCUGUCCGGCUCUUUACCUCUCCUAUCAUGAAGGGAAACCAAAAAUACACAAGAAUUUGCAUCCUUCCCUUUGAGGGCCAACAGGUGGAGGAGCACAUUUUGUGGCUUUACCCUAGAGUUCCCCAAUGACAAAUGGAGCUAUUCUUGCACAACUACAGCAUAGUUUGCUACUUUGGUGCAUGAGUGGACCAUACAAAAAAGAAAGGCCGACUCCUCAUGGGUGUAUGUUCACGUGCGUGUGCACACACACACACAGAGGCACCCGCCUUUCAUCUCAUCAGGAUGGUGGGAAUGGCAGCCACAAGCGCCAAGACCAAAAUGUAGGGACAGAAAGGACUGUCAAGUUGUGUACUGGGAAACAGGGGAAGAGUCUUUAAGAAAACUGACCUGUGCAGUGGAACUGUGACAUAUUUGAGGUCAGAAACCCCAUCCUAAUUGUGCUGGCUGAUUAGAAGAAAGAAGCAGGAAGUGAAUGAGACUUGCAUCUUGAGCAACAGAGUCAAGUCAUGCUGAAUUAGAGAUCUUAAUCUGCUCCAGUGACCUUAGAAGAGACAGAAGCUUUCAUACUGGCUACUUCUAGACUCUCGUGAUAUACUCCCACGAGGCUGCCAGCCUUGUUGGUCACCAUCCCAAAGAACUCCAUGAAAGUCCUAGAGAAGUCCAAGUCCUGGGGAAGCCAUAUUAGCUCCUUUUCCCUACCAUACUCUCCGAUAGCAGAACCACCUUUAUCUUUUCUUUCAGCCUGCUAUGUAGAAAAACUUCUAGAUGGGAGCUAUGGACACAUCAUCAGUGCUGUUGGUCUAGAAUAGCAAAGAAAUCUGAGAUGCCAUAGCAGUAAUGAGAAAGAAAGAAAUUAUGUGGCUGCCUCCCCAGACUUUGAUGAUAUCUCUUCGAAGGCCAAAAAAAAAAAAAAAAAGAACGUAAUGAAUAAGUACCUGUACCAAGUUGUCCUGAGGCUCUGGCUCUGAGCCAAAGUUGGCAGUUCUAAGGAGUUGAACCAGAUUCCCUUUUCUUUAGGCCAACGAUGCAUCAUCCUUCUGUGUCCAUCUGAUAGGACCCAGUGUUCCUGUGUCAAAAAAGAGGUCAUUGGGUAGAAACUCCAGCUUAGGUGCCACUUCUGCUUCCCUAUUUAUGUGGAUCAUAGGACUCUUUAUCACUACACCAUAAGAGUACUCUGCUGCGCAUCUAAAG
rnacentral:lncRNA from 1 species